rnacentral:lncRNA from 10 species
CGUCGACCCCACGCCACGCAGAGGUGAAGAUACGCAGGACGUCCUCUAAAGCAACUUCCGUGGGUGCCAGGUUGUGGGCUGGGGGCGGUGCUGACCUUGAGAGAGCGGAGGAGGCGCAGGCGCAGCACAGUUUAAACUUGAUUUUGUGAGGGGACGAACAGCGUGACAAUUAAAAGAAGAUCUGGGAAUCAAAAGCUUCCUGAGGCCUUCACCAGAAGCAGAUGCUGGUGCCGUGCUUCUACAGCCUGCAGAACUGAAGGACUUUACAGCUUCUCUUUCGCAUAUCCAAAUUGCCAGCAUCACCGCUCUUGCACUCCAAGCCAUUAUUAAGUAAAGUAAAGAACACAAACACUGUGAUACUGCUACACUUGAUCUGAUAACCAAGAAGUCUACUAAGUGACUAACAGUUAAUAUUUUUGGACAUGAGGUGACUGCAGUUAACUAAAACCAUGGAAAGCAAACCCAUAGAUAAAGGGAUACUAUGCAGAGCAACUGGGAACCUAAUUCUGACCAAAAAGGAGGAAUUGUUUGGCUAAUUGGAAGUGACAGAAACCUUGGGAGAAAGCAACCGCAUACCAAGGAUAAUUAUAAGAAGAAGAGAAGACAUGGAGAAGAGGAGGGAGUAGUUGUGACCGUGGAGGCAGAGAAUGGAGUAAUGUGAUCAUAAAUCAAGGAAUGCUGACAGCCACUAAAGCUGGAGAAGGCCAAGGACAGAUAUUCAAUCCUCCCGUAGAAGUACAGCCCUGCUAAUGCAUUGAUUUUGGACUUCUGGCCUCAGAACUGUCUGGAAAGCAUGGAAAUUUGUAUCUUCAUUCACUUUUGUUUUCAUGGACUCUUUUCAUGUUUGAACUUUUCAUGGAGCCUUUCUUGUCCUCUCAUUUUUCACAUUAGAUGAGAUCUAAACACACAUCAAAACUGGGAUGCAGUAAUAGG